rnacentral:rRNA from 1 species
UGGGGAAUAUUGGACAAUGGGCGAAAGCCUGAUCCAGCCAUGCCGCGUGUGCGAAGAAGGUCUUCGGAUUGUAAAGCACUUUAAGUUGGGAGGAAGGGCAUUUACCUAAUACGUAAGUGUUUUGACGUUACCGACAGAAUAAGCACCGGCUAACUCUGUGCCAGCAGCCGCGGUAAUACAGAGGGUGCAAGCGUUAAUCGGAAUUACUGGGCGUAAAGCGCGCGUAGGUGGUUUGUUAAGUUGGAUGUGAAAUCCCCGGGCUCAACCUGGGAACUGCAUUCAAAACUGACAAGCUAGAGUAUGGUAGAGGGUGGUGGAAUUUCCUGUGUAGCGGUGAAAUGCGUAGAUAUAGGAAGGAACACCAGUGGCGAAGGCGACCACCUGGACUGAUACUGACACUGAGGUGCGAAAGCGUGGGGAGCAAACAGGAUUAGAUACCCAUGUAGUCCCUGAGCGGGCUGGCAAGGCGCAU